CUGAUGCUAGCUCCCUGUUAGCUGUUAGCUGGACUACGAUCGUAUUAAAGGUUGAAGGAGCGGAUGAUUUAUUAUUAGCGUCUCUUUUCUCGUCUGUACUUGUUCAUGUACAACAGUCACAGGUCUGCUAGUCGUCGCUGGUGCUGACCUGUUUGUUGACUUUAAGCUCUCACAACAAGGCAAAAGAUAUAAAAAGUAAUGAGGACAUAAUGAAGUAUAAAAGCUUAACUGUAACUCUCAGCUAAAUACAUUGACUCAAAUACUUCACUUCAGGACACAUUUAAGGGCAGAGCAACGUGUAGCGUGUGUACAGUAAAUACAGCCGACUGUUAGCUGAGAAUAAAUCAAGGCGACAACGAUAACCUCCAUCUUUAAUUUGAGGGUGUUCACAUCACAUCAGAAAAAACAGCAGGAACAGUCUCUCAUGUUUCUGUUCUGUCAUGUUUCUGUGUAACAGAGAUGUCGGAUACUUCAGAGAAAAAGUGGAAACCAACUCUGACUAAAAUCCUGGAGGAGCUGGACAACAAACAGUACAGAAAGACAAUGGAAUAUUUGGACAAAGUUCCCAAAGGUCAGAAGAAAGGCAGAUCUUUUGCAACGAUGGCCCAAAAAAUAAUUGAGCGCUACGGACAUGACGAAUCAAUUUCUACAAUACAUAAAAUCAUGGAAGAGAUACCGAGGAAGGAUCCGAGGAUGCAGGAACUGUUGGGCCCCUUUGUUGAAGAACUGAGGAGCAAAAAUGAAAAAGGGAGAAAAGGAAAGAAGAGAAAGUGUGAUCCAGUGGAGAAGGAAGACAAUCCUCCAGCAGGUAGGUUACCAGACAACACAUCACUCAGAGAAGUGUUUCACUGCUGGCUCGUGCAUGAAACUGGUUCGUCUCUGCAGCAGAAAGACACUAAUAUGUUUGAAAGUAGUGUGAUGAACAGAGAUAAAAGGCUGUGGUAUCCCUUCUGCUCCAAAGACAGAAAACCUACAACAACCAGAAUGCACUGCACCAGACCAAAAUAAAUAAUAUAUUUCCACUGAUGGAUGGUGCUGCUUCGUUUUGCUCCGUAGUUGACUGGCUGCUAACAAACACCAUUGAAGCUAAAACUCACUGAACAGGAUUCAGAAUCAGAAUCAGAAAUCCUUUAAUGUCCCGCAGACGGGGAAAUUUGUUUGUCGCAGCAGUGGAAUAUUAUUGUG
rnacentral:lncRNA from 1 species